rnacentral:rRNA from 1 species
GAUGAACGCUGGCGGCGUGCCUAAUACAUGCAAGUCGAGCGAACAGACGAGGAGCUUGCUCCUCUGACGUUAGCGGCGGACGGGUGAGUAACACGUGGAUAACCUACCUAUAAGACUGGGAUAACUUCGGGAAACCGGAGCUAAUACCGGAUAAUAUAUUGAACCGCAUGGUUCAAUAGUGAAAGACGGUUUUGCUGUCACUUAUAGAUGGAUCCGCGCCGCAUUAGCUAGUUGGUAAGGUAACGGCUUACCAAGGCAACGAUGCAAAGCCGACCUGAGGGGAGGCUCGGCCCCUGGGGAAGGAGGAAGAGCUCCAACCCCCGAAGGGAGGCAGAGGGAGGAAUUCUCCGGAAAGGGGCAAAAGUGUACCGGGGAAACGCGGGGGAAGUAAGAAAGGUCUGCGGAGCGUAAAAGUUUUUUUUUGGGGAAGAAAAAAUGUGUAAUAAACUGGACCAGUUUGACAGGUCCCGAAGAAGAAGCCCCCGGCAAAUUAGUG